AAGAUGGCGCAUUGUGAGCAGUAGUGAGGUGUCCGUGUGCCGUUCAAUUGUAAAUUACAUUCCGUAAAUGAGAUGGGGUGAAAAUGUGAAGUUCCGGGAAACGCAGUGAAAGUCGUUUGGUGUAUAUAUUUUUGUUUAAUUUAUUCCAGUACUCAUUAUUGUGAAGCAUCAUGGCAACUGAUAAAAUUAAAGUUGCGGUGAGGGUUCGCCCUUUCAACAGGCGAGAACUGGAGUUGGGAACCCAGUGCGUCGUUCGGAUGGAGGGUCAGCAGACCAUACUUCAUCACACUGAAAGGUAACUGGCAGAAGCAGAAUAAAUUACAAAAUCGCGUACGAGACAAAGAAGAAGGAACCACGACAUAAAAGAAGAACCCGUCGAACGUCGUAAAAAGAUCAUACUUUGCUGCAAUUUGCUAGUGUUCGCAUUAUGGCUAAGAGACCUGCAUAAUAUAUAUGUACAUGUAUAACUGAUAAGUAAAAUAAAGGAAUCUUAGUCGCA